UGCAGUAAAGAAACAACACAUCGCCUUCCUGUUAGGGUUUAGGCUUGUUUUUAAAACAUGAUACACAACACCGCGAAGGUGGGAUUUUCAUAUGUAUAGGCGAUUUCCUUUGAAGUUGUAGCCGUAAACACUUGAGACUCCAAUUUGGAUUACCUGUUAGGCCCACGCUAAAGACUUAAGUGUCAGGUUUUCGUGAAUACCAAACAAGCUACAACAACGACGCCUUUCUUUAACAAAGCUUGAACGAUACAUCAAACAUAAUCAUGACCACGAUGAAGGAAACAUCUACCAUAACUUCACCAAUCGUCACGAUAAACGGCACAUCUACCCCCAGGUGGGCCACUCUAGUUCAAGACGACAAAAAUCUCAUCAUAGUGCUGGGCUUUGCUGGAGUAUUCGUUUUACUGAUGAUUGUGUUCGUCAUCGCGUACUGCGUGACAAGCUCGAGGAAAAUGAGGUACAAGACCCGCUCCAGAAGCUAUUUUACGAACGAAGAAGACAGCCGCCUGUGAUGUCAUCCUACAGUUCUCUCUAACCUUCAUCGAAUGUCUAGCUAUAGCAUGGCGCAUCGCUCAAACUAAAUCCAAGGACCUAAUCACUGAAGUUGACAUAAGCCAGCCAAGGUCCUCUAGCUCCCUCAUCUUCAACACCCUGCCGAUCCUUUGAACACAAACAGCCUCUCAAGAGUCGCUUUCUUUGGAACUUUUCUCGCUGCUAUUUUAAACCAUUAUAAUAUGGUCCUAAUGUGGCUUGGAUCGCUGCUAUUUUAAACUAUUAUAAUAUGGUCCCAAUGUGGCUUGGUUCGCUGCUAUUUUAAACCAUUAUAAUAUGGUCCCAGUGUGGCUUGGUUUGCUGCUAUUUUAAGUCAUGAUAAUAAGGUCCCAUUGUGGCUUGGUUGCUUGCAUCCUCAUGUUUGUCCUCUAUCUACACAAUCAGUAUGUCCUAUGAUCGAUUGGUCCUAUUGUGUGCCCUGUGAUGGAUUGGUCAUUAUGUUUGUCCUCUAUCUACACAAUCAGUAUGUCCUAUGAUUGCUUGGUCCUAUUGUGUGCCCUGUGAUGGAUUGGUCAUUAUGUUUGUCCUCUAUCUACACAAUCAGUAUGUCCUUAUGAUUGCUUGGUCCUAUUGUGCGCCCUGUGAUAGAUUGGUCAUUAUGUUUGUCCUCUAUCUACACAAUCAGUAUGUCCUAUGAUCGUAUGGUCCUAUUGUGUGCCCUGUGAUGGAUUGGUCAUUAUGUUUGUCCUCUAUCUACACAAUCAGUAUGUCCUAUGAUCGUAUGGCCCUAUUGUGUGCUCUCUGAUAGAUUAGUCAUUAUGUUUGUCCUCUAUCUACACAAUCAGUAUAUCCUUAUGAUCGAUUGGUCCUAUUGUGUGCCCUGUGAUGGAUUGGUCAUUAUGUUUGUCCUCUAUCUACACAAUCAGUAUGUCCUAUGAUUGCUUGGUCCUACUGUGCGCCCUGUGAUGGAUUGGUCAUUAUGUUUGUCCUUUAUCUACACAAUCAGUAUGUCCUAUGAUUGAUUGGUCCUAUUGUGCGCCCUGUGAUGGAUUGGUCAUUAUGUUUGUCCUCUAUCUACACAAUCAGUAUGUCCUAUGAUUGAUUGGUCCUUUUGAGUGCCCUGUGAUGGAUUGGUCAUUAUGUUUGUCCUCUAUCUACACAAUCAGUAUGUCCUAUGAUUGAUUGGUCCUUUUGAGUGCCCUGUGAUGGAUUGGUCAUUAUGUUUGUCCUCUAUCUACACAAUCAGUAUGUCCUAUGAUCGAUUGGUCCUAUUGUGUGCCCUGUGAUGGAUUGGUCAUUAUGUUUGUCCUCUAUCUACACUAUCAGUAUGUCCUAUGAUUGCUUGGUCCUAUUGUGUGCCCUGUGAUGGAUUGGUCAUUAUGUUUGUCCUCUAUCUACACAAUCAGUAUGUCCUAUGUUCGAUUGGUCCUAUUGUGUGCUCUCUGAUAGAUUGGUCAUUAUGUUUGUCCUCUAUCUACACAAUCAGUAUGUCCUAUGAUUGCUUGGUCCUACUGUGUGCUCUCUGAUAGAUUGGUCAUUAUGUUUGUCCUCUAUCUACACAAUCAGUAUGUCCUAUGAUUGAUUGGUCCUAUUGUGUGCUCUCUGAUAGAUUGGUCAUUAUGUUUGUCCUCUAUCUACACAAUCAGUAUGUCCUAUGAUUGAUUGGUCCUAUUGUGUGCUCUCUGAUAGAUUGGUCAUUAUGUUUGUCCUCUAUCUACACAAUCAGUAUGUCCUAUGAUUGAUUGGUCCUAUUGUGUGCUCUCUGAUAGAUUGGUCAUUAUGUUUGUCCUCUAUCUACACAAUCAGUAUGUCCUAUGAUUGAUUGGUCCUAUUGUGUGCUCUCUGAUAGAUUGGUCAUUAUGUUUGUCUUCUGAUAUACGUGCUCAGUCUGUGAACCCAUUUAGUUUCAGUAAUGAACAUACUUGUAAAACAAUUUUGCUAAAUUUAUAUAAAUCUCUUACAUUUUUAGUCAAUGAGUUUACUGUGAUAAUCACUGCACAUUUGUUUAAUUCAUUUAUUUAUGUCUCGAGUUGAAAUUGAAAGCAAAA